rnacentral:lncRNA from 1 species
AUGUCGGAAGGUGAAGAACGAACCCCCCCCCCCCCACGCAGAACAGGUCUCUGUCAUGCUCAGAGCUUGCGGAUCCCCUGCAUGGACUCCUUAAAGUCUGUCUCCACCCCUCUCCCAGCAGUUCCCAGCUCAGCUGAAGGAGGAAAAUUAAGCUGUGAACUGGAAUUCCAUCAGGCUGUCUACUGUGAAGCCCUGGGGCUUUAGCAAAAGAGCAGCAGUGGUCAGAAACUGCACUCAACAGCCCUGCAGUGACACACAAAAGAAAGUUGACCAGCUGUGUUGUGGGUAAAGAAGGAUGGCUGUGCGCUCGGAAAUCCAUUGCUCCAGCUGCAUCAGGCUGUUCUUGUGAACCAGGGAUUUUGUGCACUUCAUCCUUAUGCAUGCUACAGCGGGAGAGUGUAUUACAAAUGUGCAUUGAAAUAGAAGACAGAGUUCAGAGUGAGGACACCAUAGUACAAAGCCCUUUGACAUGGGAGAACUAAAAUUGCAUGAGCCAAGUGUGAGCUAUAUUCAUUUAAUAAAAUUCUUACCACACUUAUCUUUGGCGUGUAA